UACGGAGGGUGCAAGCGUUAAUCGGAAUUACUGGGCGUAAAGCGUGCGUAGGCGGCUGUUUAAGUCAGAUGUGAAAGCCCCGGGCUUAACCUGGGAACUGCAUUUGAUACUGGGCAGCUAGAGUUGAGUAGAGGAGAGGGGAAUUUCAGGUGUAGCGGUGAAAUGCGUAGAGAUCUGAAGGAACACCAGUGGCGAAGGCGCCUCUCUGGACUCAAACUGACGCUGAGGUACGAAAGCGUGGGUAGCAAACAGG
rnacentral:rRNA from 2 species